rnacentral:rRNA from 1 species
AUACAGAGGUCUCGAGCGUUGUUCGGAUUCAUUGGGCGUAAAGGGUGUGUAGGUGGCGCGCUAAGUCGGGUGUGAAAUUUCGGAGCUUAACUCCGAGACUGCAUUCGAUACUGGCGUGCUUGAGGACUGGAGAGGAGACUGGAAUUUACGGUGUAGCAGUGAAAUGCGUAGAUAUCGUAAGGAAGACCAGUGGCGAAGGCGGGUCUCUGGACAGUUCCUGACACUGAGACACGAAGGCCAGGGGAGCAAACG